GCCUCCGUGGCCUAAUGGAUAAGGCAUCGGUUUCCUAAACCGGGGAUUGUGGGUUCGAGUCCCAUCGGAGGUG
rnacentral:tRNA from 1 species